AUUGAACGCUGGCGGCAUGCUUUACACAUGCAAGUCGAACGGCAGCGCGGGCUUCGGCCUGGCGGCGAGUGGCGAACGGGUGAGUAAUGCAUCGGAACGUGCCCAGUAGUGGGGGAUAGCCCGGCGAAAGCCGGAUUAAUACCGCAUACGACCUGAGGGUGAAAGCGGGGGACCGAAAGGCCUCGCGCUAUUGGAGCGGCCGAUGUCGGAUUAGCUAGUUGGUGGGGUAAAGGCUUACCAAGGCGACGAUCCGUAGCUGGUCUGAGAGGUCGACCAGCCGCACUGGGACUGAGACACGGCCCAGACUCCUACGGGAGGCAGCAGUGGGGAAUUUUGGACAAUGGGGGCAACCCUGAUCCAGCCAUGCCGCGUGCGGGAAGAAGGCCUUCGGGUUGUAAACCGCUUUUGUUCGGGAAGAAAUCCUCUGGGCUAAUACCCCGGGGGGAUGACGGUACCGGAAGAAUAAGCACCGGCUAACUACGUG
rnacentral:rRNA from 1 species